rnacentral:rRNA from 1 species
UAAAGCAAGAAAGGGCGUAUGGGGAAUGCCUAGGCACACUCCGGCGAAGAAGGACGCAGCAAACAGCGAAAUGCGACGGUGAGCGGUAAGCACGUGAAGAGCCGUCGAUAUCCGAAUGGGGGAACCCACACGGAGUCAUAUCCGUGUAUCACAUGUCGAAUACAUAGACAUGAUGAGGCGAGACGCAGGGAACUGAAACAUCUAAGUACCUGCAGGAAGAGAAAAUAAGAAUGAUUUUCUGAGUAGCGGCGAGCGAAAGGGAAAGAGCCCAAACCGAUUUGAGGAUCGGGGUAGUAGGAUCAUCGAGAAAUCAAACAGAGGAUCAUAGAGGAAUCACAUGGGAAGGUGAGCGAGAGAGGGUGAGAGCCCCGUACUCGAAAUGAGAGACUGGAGAGAGAUGACACCUGAGUAGGGCGGGACACGAGAAAUCCUGUCUGAAUCAGCCGGGACCAUCCGGCAAGGCUAAAUACGAGAGAGUGACCGAUAGUGAACCAGUACCGUGAGGGAAAGGUGAAAAGAACCCCGGGAGGGGAGUGAAAGAGAACCUGAAACCAUAUGCCUACAAGAAGUCAGAGCCCGUUAAAGGGUGAUGGCGUGCCUUUUGUAGAAUGAACCGGCGAGUUACUGUAUGGAGCGAGGUUAAGCAGGAUAUGCGGAGCCGAAGCGAAAGCGAGUCUUAAGAGGGCGCGAGUUGCAUGCAGUAGACCCGAAACCGGGUGAUCUAGCCAUGACCAGGUUGAAGUUGGGGUAAAACCCGAUGGAGGACCGAACCGACCCCCGUUGAAACGUUGGCGGAUGAGUUGUGGCUAGGGGUGAAAUUCCAAUCGAACCCGGAGAUAGCUGGUUCUCCCCGAAAUAGCUUUAGGGCUAGCGUCGAGAGAAGAGUUGCGUGAAGGUAGAGCACUGAAUAUGUGAUGGCCCCAUCUCGGGGUACUGAGCAUAAUCAAACUGCGAAUGUCACGCCAACAUGCUCGGCAGUCAGACAGCGGGUGAUAAGGUCCGUUGUCAAGAGGGAAACAGCCCAGACCAUCAGCUAAGGUCCCAAAAUGUAUGCUAAGUGGAAAAGGAUGUGGAGAUGUACAGACAACUAGGAGGUUGGCUCAGAAGCAGCCAUCCUUUAAAGAGUGCGUAACAGCUCACUAGUCGAAUGACUCUGCGCCGAUAAUUUACCGGGGCUAAGCAUACUACCGAAGCUAUGGAUCCCAAGGGAUGGUAGGGGAGCGUUCCAUGAACGGAGAAGUACGACCGAAAGGACGUGUGGAGAUCAUGGAAGAGAGAAUGCCGGUGUGAGUAGCGGAACGUGGGUGAGAAUCCCACGCACCGAAAACCCAAGGUUUCCAGAGGAAGGUUCGUCCGCUCUGGGUAAGUCGGGACCUAAGGCGAGGCCGAAAGGCGUAGUCGAUGGACAACAGGUAGAGAUUCCUGUACCCGUAUAUAUGUGAAGGAAUGACGGAGAGAGGAAGCUGCAGCCAGCGGCUGGAAGAGCUGGUGCAAGCGAGAUAUCGGGAUGGCAGGCAAAUCCACCAUCCGAAACGAGAAGGCGUGAAGCGUACGGAAAGCUACGGCGAGUACGGAAGGCAGUGGAGGAACUUCCAAGAAAAGUUUCUAACGUUAAGUAUAUAUGGCCCGUACCGAAAAUGGACACACAUGGGUGAGGAGAGAAUCCUAAGGUGAGCGAGAGAACUAUAGCUAAGGAACUCUGCAAAAUGACUCCGUAACUUAGGGAGAAGGAGUGCUCAUAGAGAUAUGAGCCGCAGUGAAACGGCCCAAGCGACUGUUUACCAAAAACACAGCUCUCUGCUAAGCCGCAAGGCGAAGUAUAGGGGGUGACGCCUGCCCGGUGCUGGAAGGUUAAGGGGAGGGGUUAACGCAAGUGAAGCCCUGAACUGAAGCCCCAGUAAACGGCGGCCGUAACUAUAACGGUCCUAAGGUAGCGAAAUUCCUUGUCAGGUAAGUUCUGACCCGC